rnacentral:lncRNA from 1 species
UAAUGCAUCAUCUAAUACUGAUAGUGGACCAGCAUCACAUCUGAUUUGCAUCCACUCACUCACGUGGUGUUAGAGGAAGAGUCAGCUGAUGCAACAAUUUCCCAACAUCUGGCACUGAAACUGAACGCAUACCCAUCCUCGGAUCCAGGAAUCCAUCGCACAAGGCACUGGAGGCUAGUAAAAACAGUCCGGAGGACAGAAGGACCAGGCCGAAGAUGGAGAUGAUGGAACCAUGGGAAUUGA